AUCAUAUUUACUUUGCUUAAUCUAGGGAAAUAAGAAAGUUAGCGUUUAUACCCCCCCCCAUCAAGAUAGGAAAGAGAAAAAGAAUUUUAAUUCUCUCUAACUGAAGUGGAGAGGAAGGGAACUGUGACUUUUCCCCCAUCUCACAAGAACAAAGGCAAAUGUUUACCCCUGUCCUCUCCGAGAUAGGAUCAAGAGAGAAACAUGAAAAAGAAGUGGCAUCGUCAACACUAAGAAUAUUAGUUUAGGUUGAAGGGAGGUCAGCAUAGAUUAGAGUAGGUCUAGGAAACCCUAGGAAGUCCCCCCCCCUCUCCAUAUACCUUCUUCAACACAACCUGAGUUCCAUCCUCACUUAUCUCCAACAGAGUUGUCACUGUAGUCUUGAAAAAUCUGUGUUCUACCUAUCAGAUCCAAGGUCAUCUUCUGUUACUACUUUCAAAUUGUGGCAUAUGCAAUCUAAAUGGAAGGAGGUGAAAAUAUGGCAUUCUGCAUGCAUGUGGUUGCCAGGUUUAAGGGCACCAAUUCAAGUCUCAAAGAACUGCUGUGCUUGGGUCUUUAGGCCAGAAGACAGACAUGUCUCCAGGUAA
rnacentral:lncRNA from 1 species